rnacentral:rRNA from 1 species
UAAUCUACCUCUGAAUUGGGGAUAACAUUGUGAAAGCGAUGCUAAUACCGAAUAAUAUCCCGAGAACUUAGGCUUUUGGGAUCAAAGGUGGCCUCUACAUGUAGGCUACUGUUUAGAGAUGAGCCCGCGUACCAUUAGCUUGUUGGUAGGGUAAUGGCCUACCAAGGCAACGAUGGUUAGCUGGUCUGAGAGGAUGAUCAGCCACACUGGAACUGACACACGGUCCAGACUCCUACGGGAGGCAGCAGUGAGGAAUUUUGCGCAAUGGGGGAAACCCUGACGCAGCAACGCCGCGUGAGUGAUGAAGGCUUUCGAGUCGUAAAGCUCUGUCAAGUGAGAAGAACCUACUUUUUGUUAAUACCAUUAAGUACUGACGGUAUCACUGAAGGAAGCACCGGCUAACUCCGUGCCAGCAGCCGCGGUAAUACGGAGGGUGCAAGCGUUAUUCGGAUUUACUGGGCGUAAAGAGGGCGCAGGCGGUUUUUCAAGUCGGAUGUAAAAUCUCCCCGCUCAACGGGGAGGGAUCAUCCGAUACUGUUGAGCUAGAGGGCAGCAGAGGGAGGCGGAAUUCCCGGUGUAGUGGUGAAAUACGUAGAUAUCGGGAAGAACACCAGUGGCGAAGGCGGCCUCCUAGGGUUUCUGACGCUGAGGCCCGAAAGCGUAGGGAGCGAACAGGAUUAGAUACCCUGGUAGUCCACGCCGUAAACGAUGG